UCACCAUCGUCCUUACCAUCAUCAUCAUCACCGUCACCAUCCUCAUCACCAUCAUCAUCACCAUCACCAUCACCAUCAUCAUCCAUCACCAUCCUCAUCACCAUCCUCAUCACCAUCACCAUCAUCAUCACCGUCACCAUCACCAUUAUCAUCAUCAUCACAUCAUCAUCAAAGAAGUAGAAAAAGACCAGACUGGCUUUACCUUGCUCUUUUACUCUCAGCAUGUCCUUUUCCUUUCUGCUUAACCAGCAUUUAUUGAAUACCUCCUAUGGACUCAAACAUAUGCCAAAUAUCAACAUAAGUGAGAUAAAUUCCUUCUCCUCAAGAAGCUCUCUCCUUAGUAGAGGAGAUAGACCAAUGCCCUACUUCAAAUCAGACUGUGGGUUAUCCUCUAGGAAGUGAUAAGAAACCCAGGUAUCCUGACCAGGAGGUCACGUGUGUUCUGAGGCAUCGUUCUACUUCCAUGCACACCCUGCAGACAAAGUACACCUGACUCUGCUUGAUUGUAUCAGACCAGCUCUCCUGCAUAGCUGGCACCACUCAGAGAGGAGCUGCCUCCAGUCGGGAUCCUCCCUGAGGACAGCUUCGUUUAGCCCCUGGACUCCAAACCUGGAUUUGUCCCUUGGAAGAGUCACCAUCCAUCCCUGAGCUUCAUUUCUCAACUGUAAAACCUUUUAUAUCUGCUGGACCUCUUCCCCUAAAAAGAUCUGGUCUAAUUUUGAAUUGUUGUGCAGCCUGGGUGGCUCAGCGGUUUAGCGCCGCCUGCAGCCCGGGGCCUGAUCCUGGAGACCCGGAAUCGAGUCCCACAUCGGGCUCCCUGCCUGGAGUCUGCUUCUCCCUCUGCCUGUGUCUCUGCCUCUCUCUCUCUUGAAUAAAUAAAUAAAAUCUUUAAAAAAUAAUAAUUUUGAAUUGUUUCUUGAUGCAAAGUAUCACUCUUUUCUAGGAACAGAUACGCCCCCACCACACUAUUUCCCCAUCUAUUCUCAAACGGGAGAUUUUCUCAUUAAAUCACACUGAUGAUCUUGAUUAGAAUAUUGUAUUUUCCUUGAUCUUUCUAAGUUAACAAGCUUCUUUAUCUGUGACCCUCAGGGCAGUGGACAUUCUUUCAGGAAAUACUGUAGCUAUGGCAGGCCCUGCUCCAGCUUGGUGGAUAUUUGCAUUCGGGAUUUUUUUUUUUUUUUUUUUACCAGCAUAUACAAUUCCUAAGUGACAGGGGCAGGAGCUAGAGGCAGAGCGGUCCAGAACUAUGGGAAAGAAAAAGCCAUUCCUGGCCUGGCUCCUCAGCACACUGGCAGAGGGAAGCUGUUUCUGAGCUCGGUUUAGAGAAAUGCAGUAAACCCUCCUUGAGAUGAAAAGGGCUGACACCCUUUUCAGCUUGAGGCCUCUGAGACACAGAGUGGUUCACAGCCACUGAGAGGAACUUAGCAUCAGAACAUCCUCGUAUCUUUUUUUGUUGAAAAAGCCUUCAGGUAGCAGGAGCUUUGGUCCUGGAAAGUUGUUAUUAAAAUAUAUCUCCAGGGGCUGGCUCCUGGAUGUCUCAGCUGGUUAAGCACCUGACUUUUGAUUUCGGCUCCGGUUGUGAUCUCAGGGUUGUGAGUUCAAGCCCCAUGUCGGGCUCCAUGCUGUGCACGCAGUCUGCUUAAGAUUUUCUCUCUCUCGGGACACCUGGGUGGCUCAGUGGUUGGGCAUCUGCCUUCGGCUCAGGGUGUGAUCCCGGUUCUGGGAUCGAGUCCCACAUCGGGCUCCCUGCAUGGAGCCUGCUUCUCCCUCUGCCUGUGUCUCUGUCUCUCUCUGUAUGUCUCUCAUGAAAAAAUAAAUAAAAUCUUAAAAAAAAAAAAGGAUUCUCUCUCUCCCUCUGCACCCCCAACUAAUGCUCUUUCUCUCUCUCUAAAAAUACAUAAAUAAACCUUUAAAACAUAAAUAAAUAAAUAAACCUCCAGUCACUUAAUUCAAGAAGCUUUGGGAAUGUUAAUGAAUAGGGCAAAAUAGUAAUGGCCAAGGAACAUUCACCUCUCUUACAUCUCCAUGGGAUGACAGUGACCAAGUUAAAUAUGCUACUUUCUGAGAUCAAGCCCUAACUUCACCUAUGAUAAACUGUAAGACUCUUAGACAAAUUACCUAAUGUCUCUGAGCCUUUAUUUCCUUGUCUUUAGAAUGGAUGAAAUAAUGUCCCCACACAGUCACUACAAGAAGUAAAUGAUACCCGUUGAGCGCAGAGUACAAUGUCCAGGACAUAAGAGGAGCUCAGUACACAUACCAGAGCAGAGGAAAAUGCCCUAGAGAUAUCGAUAUUUUCCCAGGAGAAUUUUCUUCUUGACUUGCUCAACCAAACAUAACGGAUGAGUAAUCCAGCAGCCUGGAUUAUUAGGUGGGACUCCCAGCCUUGGAUUAUGGUUGUGGUUUCUAAAGCUGCCUCCCUAGUCCUCUGCUAUCUGUUCCCCUUCACAUCCCUGCAUCUAAUAGAGUGGCUGGCAUGUGACAGGUGCACAAAAUAUUUGCUGACCUUAAUUCAACUAGACCUACACUGUCCAAUAAUGUAGUUACUAGUCAUGUGUGACUAUCUAGUACUUGAAAUGUGGCUACUCUGAGUUGAUUGUGCUGUAAGUGUACAAUACACACCAGA